rnacentral:rRNA from 1 species
AACGAACGCUGGCGGCAUGCCUAACACAUGCAAGUCGAACGAGACCUUCGGGUCUAGUGGCGCACGGGUGCGUAACGCGUGGGAACCUGCCCUUAGGUUCGGAAUAACUCCCCGAAAGGGGUGCUAAUACCGGAUAAUGUCUUCGGACCAAAGAUUUAUCGCCUUUGGAUGGGCCCGCGUUGGAUUAGCUAGUUGGUAGGGUAAAAGCCUACCAAGGCGACGAUCCAUAGCUGGGCUGAGAGGAUGAUCAGCCACACUGGGACUGAGACACGGCCCAGACUCCUACGGGAGGCAGCAGUGGGGAAUAUUGGACAAUGGGCGAAAGCCUGAUCCAGCAAUGCCGGGUGAGUGAUGAAGGCCUUAGGGUUGUAAAGCUCUUUUACCCGGGAUGAUAAUGACAGUACCGGGAGAAUAAGCUCCGGCUAACUCCGUG